UACGGAGGAUGCAAGCGUUAUCCGGAAUGAUUGGGCGUAAAGCGUCCGCAGGUGGCUAUGUAAGUCUGCUGUUAAAGAGUGAGGCUCAACCUCAUAAGAGCAGUGGAAACUACAUGGCUAGAGUGCGUUCGGGGCAGAGGGAAUUCCUGGUGUAGCGGUGAAACGCGUAGAGAUCAGGAAGAACACCGGUGGCGAAGGCGCUCUGCUAGGCCGUAACUGACACUGAGGGACGAAAGCUAGGGGAGCGAAUGGG
rnacentral:rRNA from 1 species